rnacentral:lncRNA from 1 species
AAACAUUUAUAUAAGAAGGAAAUGCAAGGAAGGAAGGAAGAUGAUGAUGUGAUGGAGAGCUAUUCUUUUUGAGAGACACGUGUUGUUCAUGCACGUAAUGGUGCUGCAACGUAGCUACUUCAUAGCUGGAUAUGUCUUUUCUUGCCGACAAUUUGAUCAAGAGUUUACCGUCAAUGAUUUUGAUCACAGUAAGAAGUUGUUUUGUAUUCAGUCCAAUUUUGUGAGAUUCUGUUAUGUUGCUAGUAAUUAUUAGAUACAUGCCAACAGAGUCAAGCUAGCUUAUUUGGUACUUCGCUAUGGCUUAGGUACGGUCUUUUUGUUAAAUUAAUUUUCUCUUAUCUUCUACAUAUGCUGUUUCUUUCCUUUUGUGAGAAGGCAUAUUCAGCCAUAUAAAGUGUGUUGAUUUUCUUUCGUGAUUAAUUUGUUUGGGUAAGGUCGAUGAUAGUAUGUAGUACUUUGUAGUUUGCUACUAGAUGCUUUUAAAUUCUUUCAUGAAUCUUUCCUAAGCAUUAUUCACAAAAGCAAAUCAACAGAUUUCUCUAAGUAAAAAAAUGAAGUGAUGUAAACAAGAGGUGAGAGGAGGUAAUGUGUGCGAAGUAGAAGAAGAAUGGAGACAAUCCCUUGUUAGGAAAGAUUGACAUGAAUGCUGAAAAAUGGGAUAAAUUAAAAAAGGAGAGUGAGUUUCAUUUUAGUUUAUAUCACAGUUUAGAAGUUUCUUGAUGCCAACGUCUCUAAUGAUGCGAUGCUAUAAUUUUAAAGUAAAAAAUAUAUAAUAUCCUUUAGAAGCAUUUGACUGAUAAAGAAAGAGAAGUCCUUCCUUUCUGGUUUCUGCAAUAAAUUCCUUGCUAUAUGAGAUGGUUGCUAUCCUUUCCUUUUAUCUCAUGUAUUAAGAUAAAGUUUCUCUAGACCUACGAUUUUAUUUUACAUAUUCAUAAAACAUGGUAUUUAGUCUUUUUGUUACCUAAGUCAGUGAUAUUUUUGUAAUUUUUUCUUCUACAAACUUUUGAUUGCAAAGAAAGAAAACCUAAGCUGAAUGAUUUAUCAAGAUUGGAGUUUAGUGAAGCCAGUUUUAAAGGGCCGCUAUUCCAUAAAAAUCAUCAAAAGCACAGACGGUGCUUUCUAAAUAUUUUUAUAUCAUAGCUGAAAUUUCUUUACAAUAAUCUCAUUUUAUUAUAGUUGGUUUAUGCUCUCUGGUUUAAUAGAAAUGACCUAUGGCAUUGUCUGUGUGUGGCCCUGAAUUAUGGCAACUUUUCAUGUCUGACUCAGAUGGUGUGUAUUUACUCUGCGACAUGUUGCAGUCAUUUGGAUUUAUCAAAUUGUCUUACCUUCAAAUUUUGCGUGCACUCAAGUUCAACAUGGACAAUAUCUUGUACUUAAGCUAUACUGUCUGCUUCCUUGUCGGUGUUGUUUCUCUCAGAAGUUAUGACAGAUAAGGGGGUUUACGUUUCAAUCAUUGCUUUCUUCAUUUUGAAAAACUCAUCUCGCUCCUUCCAUUCGAAGUUGAAAUACAAUUUGAAUUACCUAAUUAAUAUUGUGUCGGUGACAAACGUAAUGGUGCUUCCAAAAUGUUUUGGUCGACAAGAUGGGUUAUGUAAGAUUGUUCCCAUUUUGAGAUAAUUAUAUGUUUUAAGUCUUUUGUGUCUUUGGUAAGUAUGAAAUGGUAGCUGUGGAACAGUAAAUAUUGGAAUUUAUUUUGCCUUUGUUGAGUUAAUUAUGUUGUUAGGACUUUGGCAUAGCCUUGGCAUAGGCUGAACAUAUAAACUUCAUUAGCACAUGAGACAUGAUUUGUUGUUGUAAGGAAUAAUUGAUCAAAGAAACCUCUUUUCCUUGUGUGUAUUGGUCUUGAUUAGUUUGAUUCAAAAUUAUGAACUGCAGAUGAUUUGUUAUAUUUUCAUUUUUAUGUAGUCAUGCGUCAUGCCCAUUCAUUGUUUUACCUUGUUUAGUGUUUCACAAUUCACCCACGUAUCUGACUUUCUGAGUUGUUAAUUGCUUGUAUGUUUCCUUGAUUUAGAUAUUAAUAUUAAUAUAUGAUAUAUCUUUCAAGGUAUUACCCAAGCCAGGCGAGAUAAUUCUACAUUAAAUUGGUUGGUCUAGUUUAAUUGUUGCAAGUCCUGAAGCUUGCAUUAUCAUGCAAAUUUUACUGUAUUGUGACACUUGUUAGAUGGUAAAGUAGUGAAAAGGGAAGAGUAUACUUCGAUGGUCUUUGUCUCCAUUCUGACCAACUUAUUUGGUUUCAGCCAUCGGAUGUUGAAAUAGAAAGGAAAAAUAAUAAAAAGAAUAACCCAGUUAAUAUUUCACUUCAGGGAUUAUAAAACUUUUGAGAUCUCUGAAGUGUUGAGCCUGGAGAAUAGGUUAGAUAAGUUGUUUCUGCUUUUGGAGAACUAUAUGUUGAAUUUUGUCCCUGUGGAGCAAUAAAUAUAGGUUUCAUGUGUUUGGGUCAAUUAUAUUGCAGCAUUAUGAGAUUGGCUUGCAUAUACCCUGACAUAAACUUCAGUAGCAUGCAAAUUGUUGUAGUGAGUGAUUAAUCAAAGAAACUUCUAUGCAUUUUGUAUGUCAAAGUCUUAAUUAUUCUGAUACGCCUCACACAAAACUGAAAGCUUCUGGAUUUUAAAAGUUUAUAUCAUUAAUUGGUCCUUAUUAUAGAGAUUCUACAAAGUUUUACAUUGGCUGUCAUGACUGCCUACCAUAACCUUCAUCUUUUAUCCAGGACUUUCAACGUAUAGCAUUAAGCACACAUAGGCAGGUUUUAAUGAUAUAGGAAGUCUGGUGUUUUCCCUUUGAUCCACAUUAACUGCUUUAUGUAUUGCGUGAACAUUUAAGCUUGCAGUUUUUAUUAUAUAGUGAUGCUUGUUAAAUAACAAACUUGUGUAACUGUGAUUUUCAGGUUAAGGAAAUCAGUUUUAUACCAUAUUUUGGAAGGUUCUGUACUUCUAUUUUGCACAUAAGUUAAGUUUGACACUGAUUGUAAUUUUGUAAUAUAAUAUUUUUCCUAUCUUUGCAAUUUAGCUUUUUAUGCUGCUCUGGAUGGCUGGAAGAUGUGAAACUUGUACAGGUAUGUGCUUAUUGGGCAAUGCCAAUUAGAAUGUAAAGAUAUCUUUAAAAUAAUCAUAUUAAGGGCCUUAUUAUCUUUUUAAAUUAUUAUCUUAAUGAUUAACCAGUAUUUGAUUUGUUGUGCCUAUACAUGAUUUAUUCUGGCUGGAUAUUCAUUGGUCAUAUGCAUCAAGCAAUCAUGCCAGUGAAAGGAAAGAGUUGUUGCUCCCCUCCUGCAGAAAAGUUUUUUGGUUAGUAUAUUAUGAAUUGCAAAGUCCUUUUUCAUUGACUAUUGGACUGAUCCUACUUUUUGUAGAGAAAGAUUUGUGUAGAGACGUAUGUAUGUAGAGAUAACCAAUAAAAUUUUGACAACACGUUAAAAAUUUAAUUUUAAUUAAAAUUUAGUUAUUAAUGAUAGCAC